CAGAAAAUAGUUUAUUUAAAAUAUUAAUUUUGGAGAUUAAUGAUAUUCAUUUGAAUUUUUCUGA
rnacentral:tRNA from 1 species